GAUUAACGCUAGCGGCAGGCCUAAUACAUGCAAGUCGAACGGCAGCACGAGUAGCAAUACUUGGUGGCGAGUGGCGCACGGGUGCGUAACACGUAUGCAAUCUACCCUUAACUGGGGGAUAGCCCCGAGAAAUCGGGAUUAAUACCCCAUAAUAUUACGGAGAGGAGUCUCCCUGUAAUUAAAGCUCCGGCGGUUUUGGAUGAGCAUGCGCGACAUUAGCUAGUUGGUAAGGUAACGGCUUACCAAGGCUUCGAUGUCUAGGGGUUCUGAGAGGAUUUACCCCCACACUGGUACUGAGACACGGACCAGACUCCUACGGGAGGCAGCAGUAAGGAAUAUUGGUCAAUGGACGCAAGUCUGAACCAGCCAUGCCGCGUGAAGGAAGACGGCCCUACGGGUUGUAAACUUCUUUUGUACAGGAAAAAACCACCGGUCGUGAAUCGGUGCUGAUGGUACUGUAAGAAUAAGGAUCGGCUAACUCCGUGCCAGCAGCCGCGGUAAUACGGAGGAUCCAAGCGUUAUCCGGAUUCAUUGGGUUUAAAGGGUGCGCAGGCGGAAUGAUAAGUCAGUGGUGAAAUCCUACGGCUCAACUGUAGAACUGCCAUUGAUACUGUCGUUCUUGAGUACACUUGGAGUGGGCGGAAUGUGUCAUGUAGCGGUGAAAUGCUUAGAUAUGACACAGAACACCGAUCGCGAAGGCAGCUCACUAAGUUGUAACUGACGCUCAGGCACGAAAGCGUGGGGAUCAAACAGGAUUAGAUACCCUGGUAGUCCACGCCGUAAACGAUGAUUACUCGAUGUUGGCGAUAUACUGUCAGCGUCUAAGCG
rnacentral:rRNA from 1 species